UACGAGAGGCCCAAACGUUAUUCGGAUUUACUGGGCUUAAAGAGUUCGUAGGCGGCGCAGAAAGUAGGGUGUGAAAGCCCUCGGCUCAACCGAGGAAUUGCGCUCUAAACUACUGUGCUUGAGGGACCUAGAGGUGAGCGGAACUGAUGGUGGAGCGGUGAAAUGCGUUGAUAUCAUCAGGAACACCGGAGGCGAAGGCGGCUCACUGGGGGUUUUCUGACGCUGAGGAACGAAAGCCAGGGUAGCGAACGGG
rnacentral:rRNA from 1 species